UUUCUCGCGAUUGACCUCGGAUCAGGUAGGGAUACCCGCUGAACUUAAGCAUAUCAAUAGCCGGGAGGAA
rnacentral:rRNA from 1 species